ensembl:lncRNA
AAAGUUCAGUCUGCAUCUGACUUUAUCAUCCUUACAUAUGGAUAUACCCAGAUAGGUUACCUGUGACUUAACUGUAAAGAGAGAGAGAAGGACAGGUUUUAAUGGCUAACAACUCACAUUUAUUAAGAUUUAGGUUUAAACCAGAAGCUUUAGAGAAAACUUUAAUGUGUUGGAUUGCAAUCGGAAUCUAUAAUUUGCUUUUCUGAAAUUGAACCCGAAAUAUUAAACCUUGAUGACGUAUGAGGUCGACCAACGCGACUUCCGGAGAACGCACCCGAAAACAUGUUCGGGCGUGUCCGGCAGGACUGGCACGAAUGGCCACCCUAAUGACACUGCAUACUUAUAAUUUUCAUGAAACUUGUUAAAUCAUCCAUAAUUAUAGACACGUUAAUAACAUAUGUAAGAAACCAAACCAUUUGAAAAUUGGUAGAAAAUUGAGCAAGUUAUGGUCAUUUAAAUGUACAUGCACCAUUAAAACACAAUGUUACGAGUGAGCGAGCGAGCGAGCUCCCCGUAGUAAGAUGGCCGCCAGGUGAUGAGGUUAGAGACUCCGUCGUAAGACAGCUAUCCUUUAUUAUACAUAUCUAUUAGUAACAGUUAAAUUAUACAUCACCUUGACUAAACAAUUAUUUUUGACCCUUUCGUUGUUGUAGUUGUCCGGCCUUUUAACAGUUUGUCACGUCUGUAAGUUACACAACGUCGUUUGAAAACUUUUGUUUCCAGCCAAUGUAACGUUAUGUGUGCAUGUAUUAAAGCGUUUUUCAUUCAAUGUUACAGGAAGCUGUAAGGCGCCUUCACAAUUCGGAAAACAACCCACAUAAAUAUGAUCCACAAACUGGAAUAAGUUCGCCUCGUAACCAAGCAGUCAUGACUUAUCUGCUAGAGGAAUUGAAAACAACUUUUGCAGAUGCAGACCCUGAGUGUAUACAAGCGUGUUGCAAGACAUACUUUGAAACACUUUGGAGAAAGUACAAUUUGUCUCAGCCAGAAAAGUCCCAGCUAAGAGAUGCCAUUAAAACAUGAGCUAAAAACCGACAAAGGAAAAGACGGUUGCUGGAUUCCAGGUCCAAGGUUGUUCAAACCGAUGCAGAGAGAGAGCUUUGGCAGACUGCAACAGUGGAGCUGAUGUCUGACGAGGAGGAUGCCAUUGUUGAUGGAAGGCCAGUGUGGAUUGUGAGGUCUCCAUCUCACAGGAACCCACAAUUGUCAGAACUUUGUGAGGAGCUUCAGCGCAGAUUGGAGGCAGACAUGCGCUACACUAUUUUGCAUCAUCAGCGUGUUAAGGCUGAUGGAAAUGGACAUGGACAUGAUGGACCUUCCUUUCUUCAACUUUAACUAAACUGCACUGGUUUUGCAAUUUUAAUAAUUGCACCACAAACUGCACAUUUUCACUUAUUCUCUUCUAUUUUAUCUUAUUCUUUGUAUACUUAUUAGGUUAGAUUUAUUUAGUUUUAUAUUCUCUAACUGUUAUAAUAUUGCUUGUGUUUAGUAAAAUUUUAUAAAAGUACUUUGCUUUGUGUACAUAUUAUUUUGUUUUAUAUUUUGUAACUGUUAUAAUAUUGCUUGUGUUUGGUUAAAUUUUUAUAAAAGUACUUUUUUUCCCCUGUACAGUUCCUAUAGU